rnacentral:rRNA from 1 species
CCUACGGGCGGCAGCAGUGGGGAAUAUUGGACAAUGGGCGAAAGCCUGAUCCAGCCAUGCCGCGUGUGUGAAGAAGGCCUUCGGGUUGUAAAGCACUUUCAGUGGGGAAGAAAGCCUUGGGGCUAAUACCCUCGAGGAAGGACAUCACCCACAGAAGAAGCACCGGCUAACUCCGUGCCAGCAGCCGCGGUAAUACGGAGGGUGCGAGCGUUAAUCGGAAUUACUGGGCGUAAAGCGCGCGUAGGCGGUCUGAUAAGCCGGUUGUGAAAGCCCCGGGCUCAACCUGGGAACGGCAUCCGGAACUGUCAGGCUAGAGUGCAGGAGAGGAAGGUAGAAUUCCCGGUGUAGCGGUGAAAUGCGUAGAGAUCGGGAGGAAUACCAGUGGCGAAGGCGGCCUACUGGACUGACACUGACGCUGAGGUGCGAAAGCGUGGGUAGCAAACAGGAUUAGAUACCCGAGUAGUC